UACGGAGGGUGCAAGCGUUAUCCGGAAUGAUUGGGCGUAAAGCGUCCGCAGGCGGCAGGUCAAGUCUGCUGUGAAAGACCGGGGCUUAACUUCGGAAAGGCAGUGGAAACUGACCAGCUAGAGUAUGGUAGGGGCAGAGGGAAUUCCUGGUGUAGCGGUGAAAUGCGUAGAGAUCAGGAAGAACAUCGGUGGCGAAGGCGCUCUGCUGGACCAUAACUGACACUCAGGGACGAAAGCUAGGGGAGCGAACAGG
rnacentral:rRNA from 1 species